rnacentral:lncRNA from 1 species
CACCCAAAGUUUGGAGUUAUAUUCCGUGGUUUGCUGCCUAAGGUUGUUUCUGAUUUAUUAUGUACGCUAUAUAAUUUUUGCGUUGUCCUUUGAUAUUACCCCUUAUUUGUAGCUAUAUGGGAGGUUUGUCUUCUAAAACUAACAUAUGGUGCAUAUCUGGUUUUGUUCUUAAAAUCGGGUGUUACAUCUAGGCACUUGGGGAAGUGUUUUAAAAAUAUUUCUUUGCCGAGUGCCUGAGCUGUAACACUCAGCAAAGAUUAUUUAAAAAAAAUCAAAAAUGUUCCCCGAGUGUUGCACUCAAGGAAUAAAGUAAAAAAAAGAAAACGACGUCGGCCAUUGGCCAACGAUGUCAAAUAUUUGCCGAGUGCCAGCAUGACACUCGGCAAAGCUUUCCCAGAGUACACAAAUUUCGACUCUCAGAAAAGGCGCCUUUGCCAGAUGAGAAUUAGCCGG